CGGCUCAGGAUGAACGCUAGCGACAGGCUUAACACAUGCAAGUCGAGGGGCAGCGGUGGUGAAGGCUUGCCUUUACCAGCCGGCGACCGGCGCACGGGUGAGUAACACGUAUGCAACCUGCCUGCCACAGCCGGAUAAUCGGGAGAAAUUCCGUCUAAUACGGCAUAAUGCAUCGACGGGACAUCCUGUUGGUGCCAAAGGUUGAUUCCGGUGGCGGAUGGGCAUGCGUCGCAUUAGUUAGUUGGCGGUGUAACGGACCACCAAGACGACGAUGCGUAGGGGUUCUGAGAGGAAGGUCCCCCACACUGGUACUGAGACACGGACCAGACUCCUACGGGAGGCAGCAGUGAGGAAUAUUGGUCAAUGGGCGGGAGCCUGAACCAGCCAAGUCGCGUGAGGGAUGACGGCCCUAUGGGUUGUAAACCUCUUUUGCCGGGGAGCAAAGUGCCGCACGUGUGCGGUUUGGAGAGUACCCGGAGAAAAAGCAUCGGCUAACUCCGUGCCAGCAGCCGCGGUAAUACGGAGGAUGCGAGCGUUAUCCGGAUUUAUUGGGUUUAAAGGGUGCGUAGGCGGACGCUUAAGUCAGCGGUAAAAUUGCGGGGCUCAACCUCGUCGAGCCGUUGAAACUGGGUGCCUUGAGUGGGCGAGAAGUACGCGGAACGCGUGGUGUAGCGGUGAAAUGCAUAGAUAUCACGCAGAACUCCGAUUGCGAAGGCAGCGUACCGGCGCCCAACUGACGCUGAAGCACGAAGGCGUGGGUAUCGAACAGGAUUAGAUACCCUGGUAGUCCACGCAGUAAACGAUGAGUGCUAGUUGUCCGGGGCGAUUGAGUUCUGGGUGACACAGCGAAAGCGUUAAGCAUUCCACCUGGGGAGUACGCCGGCAACGGUGAAACUCAAAGGAAUUGACGGGGGCCCGCACAAGCGGAGGAACAUGUGGUUUAAUUCGAUGAUACGCGAGGAACCUUACCCGGGCUCAAACGCAGGAGAGAUGUUUUUGAAAGGAGGCAGCCAGCAAUGGUCUCCUGCGAGGUGCUGCAUGGUUGUCGUCAGCUCGUGCCGUGAGGUGUCGGCUUAAGUGCCAUAACGAGCGCAACCCCUACCUACAGUUGCCAUCGCGUGAUGGCGGGCACUCUGUGGGGACUGCCUGCGCAAGCAGUGAGGAAGGCGGGGAUGACGUCAAAUCAGCACGGCCCUUACGUCCGGGGCGACACACGUGUUACAAUGGCAGGUACAGCGGGAAGCCACCCGGCGACGGGGCGCGGAACCCGAAAACCUGUCUCAGUUCGGAUUGGAGUCUGCAACCCGACUCCAUGAAGCUGGAUUCGCUAGUAAUCGCGCAUCAGCCACGGCGCGGUGAAUACGUUCCCGGGCCUUGUACACACCGCCCGUCAAGCCAUGGAAGCCGGGGGUGCCUGAAGUGCGUGACCGCAAGGAGCGCCCUAGGGUAAAACCGGUGACUGGGGCUAAGUCGUAACAAGG
rnacentral:rRNA from 1 species